rnacentral:misc_RNA from 1 species
GGUCAGAGGUCAAGACCCCGGGUCAACAGUAAAGACCCCCAGGGUCAGAGGUCACAAAACAAGUGUUUCAUCACAAGGCCUUGCUUUAGUCCAGAAGGUAUGCACCUUAUAUUGUAGCGAAGAAGUGCUUGUAUAAACUUAAAACAACCUACAAUUUCUUACUUAUGGACCAAAUUACACUUUACAGCAUCAGCUCCAAAUGUGUUUACUUUAGAAAUUUUGCAUUGAUUGUAACAAAGCAUUGAACAUUUUGAAUCUAUAAAGUUUUAUUUGUACAUUAUAUUGAAUUUAUUUAAUUUUGGUUUUUCUGUGUUUCAUUUAUACAUUGAAAUAUUAAAUUUACUUUAAAUGGUUUACUAUUUUAGAAUAUUUAGGUGUAAUCUGAAAUUUUGAAAGUACGGUAUUAAUAGCAUUAUCAUGAUCAUUGUGGAUGCAUGUAAAUGAAGUAUGAGAGUUUAGUAUGGAAACAAUUGUGGAGUAGCUUCUUGCACGCCAUUUGUCAAAAGUUAACAUGUCAUGUUGUAAAAAGGGAAAAAUAUUCUCUUGCCAUUUAUUUAUUGCUGUACAAUAAAAUUCAUGGAACUCUG